rnacentral:lncRNA from 1 species
CUUGGGUGACACAUGGAUGGUACAGUCAAGUCCGCAAAUAAUUGAGGGGCGACAACAUGAACUUCAGGCAGCAGCCAAGGGAGGGUUUUGAGGAAGAAAGCCAAGAUAUUUUCAUUCUCGAUUAAAAGAAGCAAGUCUGGGAUUGUGAAGAGGAGAGUGCACCUCCCUACAGAGGACAGUCAGAGGAGGGAGAAGACAGUGGUGGUGCAAUGUGUGUCCUGGGCAGAAAGAAAGUCACCUGGGCCCACCUGGCUCCAUGCAUCACCUGAGCACAGGGAUAAGGAUGUUUAUGUCCUGGGCCGCACCAACUUUUUGUGGAACUUAACUUGAAAAAUACUGAUUUAUUUAUGCUCUUGCCUCAAUAUAAUCAAUAAAUCCCACCCCGUAGAGACAAGGCAAUGGCAUAAGGAAAAUGAUAAAGCUUUUUUUCUUUUCCACCCAGGUUUUUAUUCAGUAACUGCUAACUGAACAUCUGGGUAUAGGGCCUGCUAGUAGACCAAGGCUGUGCAAGACAUAGUCUCUUGCCAGGAGAAAACCCAUAGUCUCAAAGGAAAAAUACGAUAACCACCCCUGAUUUGACAGUUGCAAGUACAGUAUCCUCUAUGGAUACUCUAUGGAUGCUCCAGCCCUUUAUAUAAAAUGAUGUAUAACAUACACAUACCCUUCAGUAUAUUUUAAAUGAUCCCCAGAUUAUUGAUAACACCUAAUACAAUGCAAAUAGUGUGUGAGUA